CCUACGGGUGGCAGCAGUAGGGAAUUUUCGGCAAUGGGGGGAACCCUGACCGAGCAACGCCGCGUGAACGAAGAAGUUAUUCGUAAUGUAAAGUUCUUUUAACAGGGAAGAUAGAGAAAUUUGACGGUACCUGAAGAAUAAGCUCCGGCAAACUACGAGCCAGCGGCCGAGUUAAUACGUAGGGAGCGAGCGUUAUCCGCAUUUAUUGGGCGAAAGGGGUCCGUAGAUGGCAUAGUAAGUCUUUGGUAAAAAUGCUGGGCUCAACCCAGUAGGGCAAAAGAAACUGCAAAGCUAGAGUAUGACAGAGGCAAGUGGAACUACAUGUGUAGCGGUAAAAUGCGUAAAUAUACGUAAGAACACCAGUGGCGAAGGCGGCUUGCUGGGUAAAUACUGACAUUGAGGCACGAAAGCGUGGGGAGCAAACAGGAUUAGAUACCCCAGUAGUC
rnacentral:rRNA from 1 species